UUGGUUCUAUAGAAGAUUGGCAACAGUGCUUACAAGUUAUAGUUUCCAGAUCAUGUACAAAUGCAUCCAGUCUUUCAUGUGAGCCAGUUGAAGAAGCAUUUGGGUCACAAGUUUAUCCCUAGACCACAUCUUCCUAUGGUAAAUGAAGAUGGCGCCAUUAAAACUGACUCAACUCUAGUUUUGGAAGUCAGGAAAAUCCCUCGCAAGAAUGUGCCAGUUGUGUAG
rnacentral:rRNA from 1 species